AUAAACCAGCAAGAGUUACAUUCCUGAAAUACCGGAAGUUUACUGUAUAAUUGCGAUCUGUGUGAUGUCUGAGCAGUCAGCUGAGGGUGCCAGUGAGAAGGCUCUCUGCUGAUUAAAAAAGUCGUGGAGGAUUUUCUGCUGACCUUCUUUGUUAAAGAGCAGCAUGAACACUAUGGUAUUACUGAUGACCACAUCUCUCCUCUGGGAAAUAAACAGGAUGAAGUACAUAACCGAAGGAGAUUUACAUUAAUGUUCUGCAGUUUUAAAAUAUUCAUUCAGUUAGCAGAAAUCAAUACAGAUGGUAUAAACAGCUAGUGAUUUCCCUCAUUGAACAGUGCAUUGUGUUAAAAUGUGAAGAUUUCAUUUCUAGAAACUCUUCCAUAGUAUGAAAUGGAAUUAAUCUCCCCUCCCUCUCUUUGCUGGUUGCAAAUGUUCUGUAAGAAAUAAAUUAUGAAUCUUACACCUCGUGUGCACUGUA